AGUGAACGCUGGCGGCAGGCCUAACACAUGCAAGUCGAACGGCAGCACAGUAAGAGCUUGCUCUUACGGGUGGCGAGUGGCGGACGGGUGAGGAAUACAUCCGAAUCUACUUUUUCGUGGGGGAUAACGUAGGGAAACUUACGCUAAUACCGCAUACGACCUACGGGUGAAAGCAUGGGAUCUUCGGACCUUGCGUGAUUGAAUGAGCCGAUGUCGGAUUAGCUAGUUGGCGGGGUAAAGGCCCACCAAGGCGACGAUCCGUAGCUGGUCUGAGAGGAUGAUCAGCCACACUGGAACUGAGACACGGUCCAGACUCCUACGGGAGGCAGCAGUGGGGAAUAUUGGACAAUGGGCGCAAGCCUGAUCCAGCCAUACCGCGUGGGUGAAGAAGGCCUUCGGGUUGUAAAGCCCUUUUGUUGGGAAAGAAAAGCAGCAAGUUAAUACCCCGCUGUUCUGACGGUACCAAAAGAAUAAGCACCGGCUAACUUCGUG
rnacentral:rRNA from 1 species